GAAAGAGGAGGAAAGAUUCUUUCUGGUGUAACGUGGUGGAGCCAGGAUUCAAACUUAUGUCUGUCUGACUUAAAAGUCGAAGAUAAACAUUUUUUAAUAUUUUACAACAAAAAAAAGCCCACGAUUCUCAUUGGUCACUUUUGAAGGAGACAAGCUACGAACUGAUAAAUAAGGGAUAAAUCAUGUAUUUAUCCUAAGUUUCAUAUAUAAAUAAGUAUAUACUUUCUCAGUGUAACCAAAAAGGGGAAAUUUCACGUAAUAGGAAUAUUUCAGCUAAUAGAUUAAAAAGAAAUUAUACUAACAAAAUUAAUAUAUUGCAACCUCUAAUGAAUUAAGGUAUCUAGAUAAUAAUCCCUAAUGGUUACUAAUAACACACAGAGACCACCAGACGUUGCUUGUCUUCUGACAGGAAUACACUACUCAGCUAGGAAGAAUAUUCACCAAAAAAAAAAAACUGAAUCUAAAUCUAAUCAUGUCCUCAAGUGACAAUUUACAGCAAAUAGACUGAGGACCAUGUCAAAAGACACCACAGAUAUUAUAUCAUUAAAAUCAGAAAAUUCACAGGAAAAAUGACCCAGUUAUUCAACAAAUAAAUGUCAAGGGGAAAAAAAAAAAAGAUGGAAGGCAGGCAGCCUAUAGAUUAAAAGAGAUUUAAGAGAGAUAUUAUUCAAUAGUCAUGUAUGGACCUUAUUAGAAUCCAGAUUCACGCAAAUUGUUAAAAUAUAUAUAUGAGAUAGAUCAGAACAAGGGAACAAUGCAUGGUUUAAAAUCAGGAAAAGUAUGCAUCAGGGUUGUAUUCUUUCACCAUAGUUAGUCAAUCUGUAUGCUGAGCAGAUAAUCUGAGAAGCUGGACUGUAUGAAGAGGAAUGGGGCAUCAGGAUUGGAGGAGACUCAUUAACAACCUGUGAUAUGCAGAUGACACAAUCUUGCUUGCUGAAAGUGAAGGGGACUUGAAGUGUUUAUUGAUGAAAAUCAAAGACUACAGCCUUCAGUAUGGAUUGUAUUUCAAUAUAAGGAAAACAAAAAUCCUCUCAACUGGACCAAUAAGCAACAUUGUGAUAAAUGGAGAAAAGAUUGAAGUUGUCAAGGAUUGCAUUUUACUUGAAUCCGAAAUCAACACCCAUAGAAGCAGCAGUCAAGAAAUCAAAUGAUGUCUUGCAUUGGGCAAAUCUGCGGCAAAUACCUGCGUAAAGUAUUAAAAAAAAAACAAAGAUGUCACUUUGAGGACUAAGGGGCACCUAAUCCAAGCCAUGGUAUUUUCAAUCGCCUCAUAUGCAUGUGAAAGGUGGACAAUGAAUAUGGAAGACCGAAGAAGGAUUGAUGCCUUUGAAUAAUGGUGUUGGUGAAGAAUAUUGAAUACACUAUGAACUGCCAGAAGAAUGAACAAGUCUGUCUUGAAAGAAGUACAGCCAGAAUGCUCCUUAGAAGCCAGGAUGGGGAGACUUUGUUUUAUGUACUUUGGACAUGUUAUCAGGAGGGACAAAUCCCUGGAGAAGGGCAUCAUGCUUAGUAAAGUAGAGGGUCAGUGAAAAAGAGGAAGACCCUUGAUGAGAUAGAGUGACACAGUGGCUGCAACAAUGGGUUCAAACAUAGCAAGGAUCAUGAGAAGGGCACAGGACCAGGCAGUGUUUCAUUCUGUUAUACACAGGGUCGCUAUGAGUAGGAACCAACUAGACAGCACCUAACAACAUACAUGAGACAAUUGAAGAAAUCUGAACCCCGACUGCAUGCUGAAUGAGAGUAAAGAUUUUUUUGUUAAUUUUUUAAGUGUAAAAAUAAUACUGCUGUUGCUUUUUAAAUAAAAGAGUUCUUGACUCCUAGGAAUAUGUGCUGAAAUAUUUACAGCUGAAAUUAUAUAACAACAGGAAGGAUUUGCAUUAAAAUAAUCUUGAUGGCAGUAAGGGAAAAUAUAGAUAAAACAACAUUGGCCAUGAACUGGUUGGUGAAUCUUGAUGAUGGGUACAUGGAAAUUGAUUAUACCCUCCUCUUUACUUCUAUAUAUGUUAAAAACAUACAAAUUCCACAAAUAAAUUUGAUAUAUUUUAUAAUUAACAUAACAAUAAGCUUCUUACAUCUCUUCUCUUUCCCUUGCUUCUCUAUGCCUCCUUCCAGGUGAAAUCUUAACCUUUGCUAAGUCUAGUGUUCUCUUCAGAAGCCUCGAUAUAAAAACUAUUAUCCAAAGCUUUCUUCCCGUAGAAAAAGUGUCAUCUGAGCCUUGGAGCUGUCCUUGCUUUAAUUAAUGUCCCCCCUCUUUCUGGACAAGGUCAUCCUUAACCAAAAAGUAGUUCAGCCAACUUUGAAAUAUGCUAGCAGAAGACACAUAUUUUUCAACCCUGACCUUAGGCAUCCUAAAAAGUGCACACCCCUUCAAAACUAUUUAGAUUACACCCUGUCACACCCCUUCCUCAUUUUUCAACUUCACUUUUUAUCACCCUGCAUUUUGACAUCAUGGACUUUACAAUUAUCAGCAAGGACACAGUCCUUCUCUACAGUUACCACAAGUUUAUUUAUUGUUUAUUUAGAAAAGCCCAGAGUUGAUUGCAUGCAAACUCCAAUGCAGCCUUAAAGACCAUUGGGUCCAGACCCUUCUUUCUAAGGGACAGUAAGACCCAGAAAUGUGAGGCAACUUAGCCAGGAGUACACAGACCACACACUGGAGAGGACUGCUACACUCUAAAGUUACAGAGUUUUUCUUUCCAAUUCUCUAUCUCCAAAACCAGAGGGUUCCUCUGCACUAUGGUUUUAUUAUUUAUUUUAGCAAUGUGUCCCCCAAAUUUAUUAUCCCAAGCAAUGUCAUUGGCUCCCUUUUCCCUGAUGAGGUUCCUGAGUGGCAUAAAUGGUUUGCACUAGACUAUUAACCUAAUGGUUGGUGGUUCAAACUCACCCAGGGGUGCCAGGAAGGAAAGACCUGGUGAUCUGCUUUCAUAAACAUUACAGUCAAGAAAACCCUAUGGAGCAAUUCUACUCUGUAACACACGGAGUCACCAUGAGUCAGAAGCAAAUCGAUGGCGACAGGUUUGGUUUUUUAUUUGGUUUUUUCCCUGUCUAGCAUGAGAGCAUUGAUCAUGAGCAAUAGCAGACCGAGGCUGAGUAGAAGAGUACAGAGCCUUGAAGGUACUGCUAAACUACAGACAGACAACUCUUGACCAGAGCAGGACUGAACACAUUUUCUCCUCUCCCAAAAAGUGCCGCAUGUGCUUUGAGCCUACAAUGUUGAAUCUUGUUCUUUUGACCCUCUUUUAGCCCUUGCCUAGGUUUUUUGACUUUAUUUAUAGUUUUAGAAAGACUUGUGCACAUUUUAAACCAUCUCUUCCUCCUGUUUGACACUAAAUGGAUACCAAACCCAAAACCCACUGCCGUUGAGUCAAUUCCGACUCAUAGCGACCCUAUAGGACAAAGUAGAACUGCCCCAUAGAGUUUCCAAGGAGCGCCUGGCUGAUUUGAACUGCUGAUCUCUUGGUUAGCAGCCGUAGCACUUAACCACUACCCCACCAGGGUUUCCAAAUGGAUACCAAGAAGAAUAAAAUUAACAUCCCUAAUUAGUGAUCUGGCAUCAGUCUAUUCUGAGCUGAAGCAAUUGGCUAAGCGGCCACUGAAAAUGAUGUUAAAAUUUCUUCUGUGUUAAUUUCCCAUAAAUGCAUAAAACAACUUUCAUCCCAUUCUGUAAGUUUUAUAUUUUUGUAAGGACGCUACAUCCAAGGAUAAUAAGCCAAAGUCUCAGAUAGAAUGAUGGCAUUGCUGAAGCUAGACCUUGAUCUAACUGACCCCCAAGACGACUAUCUCCCUCCAUGCUGCAUUGGACAGAAGAAAGUACCAUCUGGGCACAUGCCUUAGCUCAGACGGAGGAAUAACCUGCCAGGAAAAGAACCAUCAGGACCUUAGGGCCAUCUAUUCUUUAAUUCUCCAUGAUCAUCUGCUGAAAAGGCCAAAAGAAGUUCUGUGAUUUUAGAGAGAGCUGUAAAAUGGCUGUGGUAGAACAACCUCAGAGUGAACCUGAUAUUGGGUGGGUGUAAAUGGUUCAUGACUCUGCUGUUUAGUGCACAUGACUCACCCAGAACACCCUGAGGCUCCAACAUAAACCAUGUCCACCGGCCUCACCCUCAGCCUCUGCCACAAGCUUAUUCAUACAUGAUGUGCUGGCCUGGCACCCAAAACCCCCAAAUCAUCUGUGAGUCAGAUUUUAUUACGUGGAACAUUCCAGACUUGCUAUCCUGGUGCUUGGCCAUUAUUUUCAGAAUUGAACCAGGGAAAGGAACAUGGGAAGUAAAGAGGGCCAAGCUAUUACCUAUGCACUAAAAGAUAUCAAGUACAGCCAGAAAGCUCCUUAGAAGCAAGGAUGUGAAGACUUCGUCUCACAUACUUUGGACAUGUAAUUAAGAAUAAGCAGUCCCUGGAGAAGGACAUCAUGCUUGGUAAAGCAGGAAAAGAGGAAGACCCUCAAAGGGAUAGAUUGACAUAGUGGCUGCAACAAUGGGCUCAGUGAUCGUGAGGAUGGCACAGGACUGGAUAGUGUUUCAUUCUGUUGUACAAAGGGUCACUAUGAGUCGAAACCAACUCGGUGGCACCUAACAACAACAACAACAAAGGAUAUGAAGAGUCAAACAGUGAUGCAAACAGUUAAUGUGCUUAGCUGCUAACUGAAAAGUUGGAGGUUCAAGUUCACAAAGAGGCACUUCAGAAAAAAGGCCCUAUGGAGCACAGAUCUACUGUGACACACAUGGGGUCACCACGAGCUGGAGUCAAAUGGAAGACAAAGGGUUUAAAAUAAUAAUAAGGAGUUCAAAGUUCUGGAGCCAGACUGCUAAGUUCCAAGCCCAGCACUUGUCCCUUAACAGAUGUGUGAUCUUGGGCAUGUUCCCCCAGCCUCAGCUUUUCAUCUGUAAAAUAGCACCUAGCUUAUAAGGCUUUUGUUGAAACAGUAACACACAAUGUGUGCUACAUAAAUAUUAUUUUGUCUUCAGAACACCCUGACUUAAAACCAUCUAUGUGUCUCAUUGAUCUGUAAACCAUGAAGCUUAAUCCAUUAACCCAUUUUUAACAACUCUGUAUUGAUAGCUCUUUAUUACAAGCUUGUACAACAUUUGAUAUCUGAAGUUGGAAAAUAAUUGGUAAUUAGUCACCAAUAUAAACCUCAAUGUUAUCUUCAGGGAGUUUAAAAUUACAAUCUUUAGUAAGUGAUCUUUUCAUGUAAUUUUAUUUUAGCACUAUAUCUAGGUAUCUUUUCUUUAACUUUACGUUCAUGAGCUUAUUUAUCUUCUCGCUAAAGUUCAAAAUCUAAUUUCUAACACAGGUUACUUACUGUAAUAAACUCUACAAGCUUUAGAAUGACAGGUUGAAAGAUACAAUUUUUUAGAGUUAUGAAUUAAUAGCCAUAUAUGUCAAAGACUUUGAAAGUGCCAACUUUUUCAUAUUUAUAGAUAUAUUAUUGAAAUGAUAAAAAAUGAACUGCGGAAAGAGGAAAGAACUGAGAACCACAUAUAAUGAAUCAAACAUACUUAACAAGACAUGCACAGACACUUUGGUGUGCAUCUCUUUUAUUAUGUUACAUUAAUCAAACAGUGCUAAAGACAUCCAUCUGAGAAAAGUGUCACAAUGAUAUUCUAUAAAAACAUUCUUUUGAAAAGAGUCCUUCCUGACAGCCAUAUCAACUGUAUUGUCUUAAGUAAUUGUUAGACCCACAUUUCUCAGAAAUUAAGAGAAUUUAUGUACGUGCCUCUUGAGCUUCCUUCUCCCUCCACCUUCUUCUCCCACCCUGGUCCCACCAAAGCUAGCUUUUUAAAAGAAAAUAAUUGAAUUGGAGAACACGUACAUGAGUCCCUGAUAAGGACUCAUAAAAUCUGGAUGUACCUGAUAUAAUUUUUUUUAGCAGUGCAAUUUAAAUUCUUCUACUUUUUAAGUUUUCACAAAUUUUAACAGGAAAUUCGGGUUAUUUAGCAGAAUAAUUAAUUUGACCUUAAGGGAUUUUUUUUUUCCCUAACACAAACAUGAUGUUGUCCAUAGUUGCAGAGAGCUAUCUUUUCAUUUUCAUGCUUUCAAACUAUCUAAGAAUUGCAGGUUUUAUAUGCAAUUGUUCAUAAUGUGUUUGGAUUUCUCUGUUUCAAUUUUAUUAGAGUCUUACCUGAUGGAAAACUAAAUCUAUCACUUAAUAUUCCAGUUAAUAUUGAGAUGAACACACAUAAGAGCAAAUAGAUGAGGAAGAUGAGUGAUAUCUCAAGAGCUGUAGCCAUCAGACAGUUAUUAAGUCCCUUCUGUUAUAGUCACAUGCUUCAGGGGGAAAAAAAGGUAAUGGAUUAAAAAACACCAUUUCUCUUGUCCUUAAAUAGUCCAUGUAAUUCAACUGAUAAAUCCAGUUCAUGGUUCUCUAUAGCUAUGGUUCAGUUUUGCUUUUUCUAAUCCAAACUGGAUCUUCAGAUAAUUCAGGUGUCAAAUUAUCUUUAAUCCCAAGAAACCUCAAAUAACUAUAAGGCUGUAAUCUGACCUUAAUUAAUAUAUAAUCAAAUCUAAAGACUAAAAGCUAGUCGCUGAAUGUCAGACUACAUUUAAUAUCUCUAUUUGUAAAGACAACCUAUUACACAAAAGAGAUGGUAGGCAGAAAAAGGACAAAGGUAUCCAUGAACUUGCUCAGUCAACUAUAUAUAAAAUAUGCAUUUGGAAAGAGAACAAAUUAGGCCAAUUGUACUUUUGUCUUCCUAUAGAUACAAUUUUCUCUUCUAGCUUAAGUAUAAAGCUUUGAGUACUUAUGUUACUACUCUUCCUCCCCCCCUAAAAAAAAUAAUAACCUAACUGACAAGCAAGUAAUGUUGUAGUUUGAUACAAAAUAGUGAGAAACUUCUAAAAUUGCAGCAGUUGCACAGAAAGAAAGCUCAAAGAGUGAACACGAAGACCUUUUUGAGGCUAUGUUGAUGAAGAUGCCACCAAAAUCUUGCUCUCUUAUUUACCAAACACCCAUUGGAGUUCUUCUGCCUCCAUUCCUUGGCACAUUGAGAGUGAUCAAUUUCACCUACAGUGUCACUCCCAAGCUAUACGUGAUUUAUUUCUAUUAACCUUUACCUGCUAGAAAUGUACAUUUCUUACUUGUACAUAAAAAAAAAACAGUAACCCAGUUGUUUAAAAAAAAAAUCAUUUUGUCCAAAAGGCCAAGCACCAAAAUAAAAGGAUGCCAAGUUUUUCCUUUAGACUUUAUAUUGAAAAGCUAGAUUCAUUUUACUCUGAUUAGCUUUUGAACAUUUUUUAAAGGGAAAACUCAUCGUAUAAUAGCAUUCGUGUUCUAGACUUCGAGUAUGAUUUUACUGGAUACUGUUUAAACUGAAAAUAACUUUACCAACAAGUUUUCCUAAUUUUAUUCAAAUAUUCUGGAAAAGCAUAAAAGGGUUUGAAUUCAAAUAAAUGCAAAAUUUCUUUCUGGUUUGGAUUUUAACUAGUAAAAGGUAUUUAUCUGGCUGUUGACUCCAACGUUAAAUGAAAGAUUAAUAAAACGAAUAAUUUAAGCAUUGUUCUCUAAUCCUGACCAGUCCUGCAAGGUAGGUAUAUUACUUUUAUUUUACAGAUGAGGAAACCAGAGGCUUAGUUGGAUGGAGUGACUUGCCCAGGGCUACCAUGAUAGUAAAUUGGCAGAGCCCAGAUUAAAUGAAAUCCAGGGCUUCCCAGCUCCUAAACUGUGUUCUUUGGAGCCAUGGGACUGCUGGCCGGAGGGAAUCCUGGACCAGCUGAUUGUCAUUAACAAUGACUUACCGGAACCAGUCAGUCUGGACCCAGUAGUUCUCUAAAAGUAAGUUUCAAAGAGUUCCACAUGAUCGGACUAGGGAAGACGACAGGUAGGUGACAGAGAAAGCCCAAAACCCAGCAGACACUACAUGAGGCACCUUCUACCAGGUGCUUUUCCAAGCCUCUGUAUACAACAAUCAUAAGAAAUUUUUAAAAGCCACGUAACACUUGUUGCGUGUGUAAGUCCACACUUCGUUUCAUCUCCUCUACUGGUCUACUGAGAUUAUGAAAAUAAAAGAUGCCAAAUUGGAAAAAUAUAAUCUAAAACAGAGAUCACCAGCUAGCAGCCUGUGGCCUGAAAUCAGGCCACUGGUUUUGUUUCAUCCAUGCAAAUAUUUAAAUUUUGUUUUAGUUUCAGCGCUUUAAAAUGGGAGAUUUUUAUGUAAAACUCCAGAUUUCUGGUCCCUUUUAAAAACACAGGAAAUCUGGCCACCCUGUGCCCAUAUUCCAACAACUGACUGGAGCAGAAUAGCCAUUGCUCAAGUUUAGAGCAGCUACACACUGUCCAAAUCUCCAUUACUUCCUCUCCUCCCACCUGUCUCUUAAUACGUUCUAUUUUGUUACUCACUUGGUCCCUAUAUACAUAUUUGUGCAUGAGCACUAUUCUAACACAUUUGUGGGAUCCUUGGAUAAGUGAUCCAGCCUCAGUUUUGCAUAGGCUCCUUGCCCAGCAAUUCUUGCUUCAACACCAACAGCUCUCCAUGAGGUUGGGGAAGGCUCGUGAAAGUGAAAGAAGUGGGUGGUAAUGGGGAAGUGGAAUCUGACUUUGAGUAAUUCAUGAUUCUUUUCAAACAAGCUGAACUAACAUUGCUCUUUCAUUCCCGGUUUUCGACAGAGGAGGCUGAAACUAAGAACGUUGGUUUGAUGCCAAAACGGCACACAAUUUCUCAACAGGCACUCUCUCUCCCAGUUGGAGCAGCAGGCAGGUAAUGCAACCUGCCAAUCCUCCGUGCCUCUUUGGAGCUGCUCAGGAAAGGCAUGCACAGCCUAGGAAACAAAGGAAUUUACCAGCUUUUAACUGACAUAGUUAAAACCCCAUUAUUUCAACACUAUUUCCCUCUUCUGCAUCUUGGCAAUGAAGGUACUUUUCUACCACUCAUCUGUCACUUUGUUGUACUGUGAUGGCUUUGCGUGUUGCUGUGAUGCUGGAAGCUAUGCCACUGGUAUUUCAAAUGCCAGGAGAGUCACCCAUGGUGGAAAGGUUUCAGCAGAGCUUCCAGACUAAAACAGACUGGGAAGAACCCGGCAAUUUACUUUGUAAAAAAUUGGCCAGUGAAAACCUUACGAAUAGUAGUGAAACGUUGUCUGACAUAGUGCCAGAAGAUGAGUUCCUCAGGUUGGAAACCAAAACCCAAACUCAUUGCCAUCAAGUCAAUUUCAACCCAUAGUGACCCUAGCGGACAGAGCAGAACUGCCCUGUAGGGUUUCCGAGCAGUCCUAUCGCUUAACCACUGCACUACCAGGGCUCCCUCAAGUUGGACGGCAUUCAAAAUAUGAUUGGGGAAGAGCUGCCUCCUCAAAGCAGAGUCGACUUUAACAAAGUAGAUGGAGUAAAGCUUUCAGGACCUUCAUUUGGUGAUGUGGCACUACUCAAAAUGAAAAGAAACAGCUGCAAAUAUUCAGUAGUAAUUGGAAUGUGGACUGUAUGAAGUAAAAAUCUAGGAAAAUUGGAAGUUGUGAAAAAUGAAAUGGGUCACUUGAAGAUCGAUACCGUAGAGAUUACUGAGCUGAAAUGGACUGGUAUUGGCCAUUUUGAGUUAGACAAUCACGUGGUCUACUAUGCUGGGAACAACAAAUUGAAGAAGAGUGGUAUCAUAUUCAUUGUCAAAAAGAUCAUUUCAAGGCCUGUCCUAAAGUACAACACUGUCAGUGAUAGGAUAACAUUCAUACUCCUAUAAGGAAAACCAGUUAAUGCAACUAUUAUUUCAAAUUUAUGAACCAACCACUAAUGCAAAAGGUGAAGAAACUGAAGAUUUUUACCAACUUCUACAGCCUGAAAUUGAUCAAAGAUGCAUUGAUAAUUACUGAUGAUUAGAAUGGAAAAGUUGGAAACAAAGAGAAGGAUCAGUAGUUGGACAAUAUGGCCUGGCUGAUAGAAACGACUCCAGAGAUGACAUAAUAGAAUUUUGCAAGGCCAACCACUUACUGGAAAUAACUUUUUUCAACAACAUAAAUGGGGACUAUACAUGUGGACCUCGCCAGAUGGAAUAAACAGGAAUCAAAAUAACUACCUCUGUGGAAAAAAGAUGGUAGAAAAGCUCAAUAUCAUGUGUCAGAACAAGGCCAGGGCCAACUGAUGAACAGACCAUAAAUUGCUCAUAUGCAAAUUCAAGGUGAAGCUGAAGAAAAUUAAAACAAGUCCAUAAGAGCCAAAAAACGACCUUGAGGAUAUCACACCUGAAUUUAGAGACCAUCUCAGAAUAGUUUUGACACGUUGAAAACUAAUGACUGAAAAAGAGACAAGUUGUAGAAUGACAAUAAGGACAGCAUACGUGAAGAAAUCAAAAUUUCAUUAAAAACACAGGAAAGAAAGAAAAGACCAAAAUGGAUGUCAGAAGAGGCUCUGAAACUUGUCACUGAAUGUAGAGUAGAUAAAGUAAAAGGAAGAAAUGAUGAAGCAAGAGAGUCGAACAGAAUAUUUCAAAGGGCAGCUCAAGAAGACAAAGUCAAAUAUUAUAAUGAAAUGUACAAAGAUCGGGAGUUAGAAAACCAAAAGAAAAAAACAAGCUAAACAAACUGAAGAAAAAAUUCAAGCCUCGAGUUGUAAUAUUGAAUGAUUCUAAGGGCAAAAUAUUGAAUGACCUAGGAAACAUCAAAGGAAAAUGGAAGUAAUGCCCAGAAUCACUGUACCAACACUCGACCAUUUCAGGAGAGAGCAUAUGAUCAAGAACUGAUGGUAUUAAAGGAAGAAAUCCAAGCUGCACUGAAGGCAUUGGUGAAAAACAAGAUUUCAGGAAUUGACAGAAUACCAAUUGAGAUGUUUCAACAAAUGGAUGCAACGCUAGAAAUAUUCAUUGUCUAUGCCAAGAAAUUUGGAAAACAGCUACCUGGCUGAACAAUUGGAAGAUAUUUGUGCCCAUCCUAAAGAAAGGUGAUACAACAGAAUGCAGAAACUAUUCAAUAAUAUCAUUAAUAUCACACGCAAGUAAAAUUUUGCAAAGGUAAUUCAAAAGUGGUUGCAGCAGUACAAUGACAUGGAAUUUCCAGAGAUUCAAGCCAGAUUCAGAAAAGGACAGAGAAGGAUGGAUAACUUUGCUGAUGUCAGAUGAAUGUUGGCUGAAAGCAGAGAACACCAGAAAGAUGUUUACCUCUGUUUUGUUGACUACAAAAAGGCAUUCUGUGGAUCAUAACAAAUUAUGAAUAACACUGUGAAGAAUGAAAAUUCCAGAACACUUUAUUGUGCUCAUAAGGAACCUGAACAAAGCCAAAGGAGGAAGUUGUUCAAAAGAACAAGGGGGCUACCCUGUGGCUUAAAAUCAGGAAAGAUGUAUGUGAGGGUCGCAUCCUUUCACCAUACUUAUUCAACCUGUACGCUGAGCAAAUAAUCCAAGAAGCUGGACUAUGUGAAGAAGAACAUGGCAUCAGGAUUGGAGGAAGGCUCAUUAACAACCUUUGAUAUGUAGAUGAUACAACACUGUUUGCUGAAAUCAAAGAGGAUUGAAGGCACUUACGGAUGAAGAUCAAAGACUACAGCCUUCAGUAUGGAUUGCAUCUCAACAUAAAGAAAACAAAAAUCCUCACAAGUGGUUCAGUAAGUAAUACCAUGAUAAAUGGAGGAAAGAUUGAAAUUGCCGAGGAUUUCAUUCUACUUGGAUUCACAAUCAACACCCAUGGAAGCAGCAGUCAGGAAAUCAAAUGAUGUAUUGCAUCAGGCAAAUCUGCUGCAAAAGACCUCUUUAAAGUGUUCAAAAGCAAAGAAGUCGCUUUAAGAACUAAAGUGCACCUGACUAAAGCCAUGGUAUUUUCAAUAGCUUCAUAUGUGUGAGAAAGCUGGACAAUGAAUAAGGAAGACUGAUGAUGAAUUGAUGUCUUUGGAUUAUGGUGUUGGUAAAGAGUAUUGAAUAUGUCAUGGACUGCCAGAAGAACAAACAAAUCUGACUUGGAGGAAGUACAGCCAGAGUGCUCCUUAGAAGUGAGGAUGAUGAGACUUCACCUCACAUACUUUGGACAUGUUAUCAGAAGGGACCAGUCCCUGGAGAAGGACAUUAUGAUUGGUAAAGUAGAGGGUCAUUGAAAAAGAGAAAGACCCCCAAUGAUUGUGCGGAUGGCACAGGACCGGGCAGUGUUUCCUUCUGUUGUACAUAGAGUGGCUGUGAGUCACAAGCAACUCAACGGCACCUAACAACAACAACAACAGAUAUUAUUAGUCAUGUAACUGAUCUUAUUUCUCUUUUUUGAUUUGGCUGCUAGCAAGUUCCGGGACAAAUUUGGGACCCACCACAAAUAAAUGUAUAAUGACCUCACAUAUGUAUCUCUACCCAGUUUUAUCUUUCUUUUUUCACUACCUUUUAUUUCUCUUUGCUAUUUCUUUGUUUCUUGUCAUUGUGUUAUUGGAAAUGGCAUUAAACAACUUAUUCUGGAGCAAAGUAAAUUAUAAAUACAUUUGAAAAUUAACUAGGAUAAACAUCAAUUAAUUUGAUUUUCCCUAAAGCGUAUAUUAACAGUGCCUACUCGGCUCAGGCAGCCCAGGUGGCCCAGUAAUUGAACGCUACGGCUGCCAACCAAAAGGUCGGCAGUUAGACUCCACCACUCACUCCUUAAAAAACCCUAUGGAGUGGAGGAGGUUAGAAGCUGGCGAAACGGACACGAAAAGGGAGAGUGGCGGGAGAGAGUGGGCUGUCUCAUUGGGGGGAGAGUAAUUGACACUGGGUUUUCUUUUAGCAAGGUGUAUGUGGGUGUUUGUGUGAGAGACUGACUUGAUUUGUAAACUUUCACUUAAAGCACAAUAAAAAUUAUUUCUAAAAAAGAAAAAAAAACCUAUGGGGCAGUCCUACUCUGUCCUAUAGGGUCACUAUGAGUCAGAAUCGACUUAACUGCAAGGGGGGUUUUUAAAGCAAAAAUAAAAAGAUGAAAUAUAUUGUGAAAAAGCAUAUAUUCCGAAUACUAACUUGUUUCUUCUCAAUUAGUGGGAACAACCAAAUAGUAAUGAUGUAAUAACUAUGAGGACAUUUAUAAUGCUUCAUUGAAUCCUCAUGUAAUACUAAAGCUUAAGGGAAAUCUUUGAAGCAUCAUAUUGCCCAGAGUCAAGAUAUACCAUCAUUUCAUAAAGAAUAUUAAGAGUCAGAUUGAGAACUAACAACCCAAGAUGACCAAUACUAGGAAAGGAUGUCCUAUUCUUAGGUCUCCUUUAAUAGAAAUAUUCAAGCUAUGGCAUAUCAUGAGUUAAGGAUCUGAAAUAACGAAUCCUAGCAUUUGGUAGUAAGUUAGCUCAAAGAAUCCAGUUCUAAAAUCCUAAGAUCUAUGAUUCUAUACAUGGUUUAUUUAUAAUAAAGAAAAAUGCUGGUGUUAUUUUAUUACUAUUUGACCCAUUCAAGCAUUUCCAAAAUUUAUAAUAAUUUCACAAAUACAGCCAUUUAGAAAAGAGAGGGAAGUAGUAAUGAGUCUAUCUAGACACCACUUGUACACCAAAACUUCCUCUCUACAAUCUUACUGAAUAAUAUAGCCACAAAACCUAAGCUGUUGAUAAGCAGGUCGUAUUUCAUUUUAUUAAUUUUAAAAAAAAGCAACUGUAACUUAGCAAAGUGAAAUUAUUUGUCCAAUGACAUGCAUCCAAUCUAGCACAACCAGAAUUAGAAAUUACCAGUCCUGAGUAUAUAAUAGAAGAUGCACCCAUAACCCCUUUCAAAGACUCAGAAAAUCAUGACCCAUUACCCACCCACACAUUUCAAGCCAUAUGUUGCUUUUCCUCACGCAGUCUCCAGACAUCUAGUUUCUGAAUCCUAUCCCAAAGAGGCAUAAGUGACCCAGUAGCUUUUUGGGUGACAAUUGUGAAUAUGGCUCCAGAGUCACAUAAUUUUAAGUCCACAUCCAUGUACCUUUGGUCAUUACCAUGACUAAACUCUUCUCCCAUUCACUCACUGCUGAGCCCAAUUUCCAUACGGCUGCAUGGGUGAAUUUACCCUGCCAUUUCCCUGAAGACACAUCUCUGUGCUGUGUUGUCCUUUGAUUCCUGAGUUUUCUUUCAAAUGCAUGUUCACUCAGUUUAGUGGAUGAGAUCACUAUUCCUUAUUCCCUUUCCCUGGUGAGUGACAGACUGCUGCAACAAAAGCUCAACAGUCCCUCCAUGUUAUUUCUGGCUUUACCAGGGACAUGCUCUGUAACUUUAGCCAACUCACUCUCUCUCUGUGUGGACAGGGCCCUUCAAUGGUAAGCUGGAGGUUGUUCAUUUCACCAGAUCAUAUUCAGGAAAGACUGAGGUCUGUGCUCAAAAGUUUCAGUAGACAUGGGAAAGUAUCAUCGUUGUUGUUGUUGUUUAUUACCAAUACAGCUGCAGAACUUGGAGAAUUUAUGAUCUCCCCAUGGAUUUUUCUGUGGCCUCCAGAACCUGCAAUUUAAUUUUGAAAGAAUUAAAUUUCUAGUCUGCUUUACAGGGGUGACUGUGAGAAUGUAUGUUGACAGACUGUUGUCUGCAGAGGCAAAAUCCAGACACACUAAGACAAUGCUGCAGCUUGAACAGGGGUGACCCCUUCCCAUUCAUCUUAAUAGAGUGUUAAACUUGAAGCCUAAUUAGGUCCACUUAAAUGUCAACUUUAUUAUACUUUUCUCUGCUUAUCUUCAUACCAGAAACAAUCAACUAAUGCACUCAUUUAAUCUGGGUGCGUGCAACGAUCCCAUCCAGACACCCUGUCAUUUUGAUAGC